CCCAUUCACCAGCAUUCAAAUUUCACCUUCUGACCAUCCAAGGCAGCUGGCUGCUGGCCCAGGAACUAAGAGCACUUUGAGAUCAUCCCUCUGACCACAGGCAACUGUGUGCUUGCAAGGAAUCUUCUUUCCUGAGCCGGUAAAUUCAAAAUGACCAGGGUGUUCACAGGGUACCAGGUUUGAGGGCCACUGACCCUUGAACCCCCAACCCUACCUACUGCCCUAUUCACCCAGGACCACAGCUUACACUCUGGAAAAGCCAAGAAAUGACAGCAGGCAAUGCACACGGAGGAAACAUUUCUGCACAGCAACUGCACAGGAGGACAGCCCAGGUUGUUAAACGCGUCUCCUGUGUAAAUGUUUCUGGAGCCCUGGUUUGCCUGCUUUCUUGGAUGGCACGAGGCUUGAGUUUGCAAAAUAAAAGUGAUGCCGGCUAUUAACUCUGUUCGAGAGUGAGGAAACUGAGAGAAAAAGGAAGUUGGGGCAGAAACCAGGAAUGGACAGAGCUCUCCUAACUCAGGCUUUCAGGUCUCAGCUUAAAUGUCAUUUCCCUUCUGGACCUGGCAGGGCAGAAGGUGCCAUCGAGGGAGUUGAUGUUUGCCAUGACAAGGACCAAAAGGUUCGGCAUCAGGAGCCCAAGAGCCAGGACAUCCACCAAAGGCUGUUGGUCAAGCUGUUCAGGUUUCCGGCCAGAUGAACCAACUCCACCUUCAACCAGGUUGUGCUGAAGACAUUGUUAAUGAGUCACAGAAACUGGCCACCUCUGUCUCUCUCCCAUAUGAUGGGGAAGAUGAAGCUUUCUGGCUGGAAGAACAAAACAGCUGUGGUUGUGGGGAUCAUAAUGGAUGUUGUGCCCGUGCUGGAGGUGCCCAAACUCAAGGUUCCACAUGACAACCAUUGGUGUCAGAGGCCAGUGCCUUGAUGAAUAUGUGUCUUCUCUUCUCUAGUUUACCAUGGGACAGAUAGCUACUGCACCAGUUUCAGGUCUUCUCACCAUCUUGGCCUCUUUCUGAAUAACUCCUCUUUUGCGAUGUCCCCUUACUGCUCAGGCCAUCCUAGGGAUGAAGAAAGUACUGGGCCAAAGAGAUCCAUGGGCAUCCGUGUAGGGAGUGCCAAGAAAUUAGGAUUAUCCUGCCUCGGCGCCCAGCCAAGGUUAACAAGCUUUAUGGUCUGUUCGGCAAACCUGAGGGGACCCGGUCCUCCAUUGUGGGAUGGGAGUUGAAGGAAACAGUGUUCAGGUCUGGCCCAAGCCAAAACCCAUCUAUUGCAACCUACCAUUUCUUUUCUGCCUACUUCUUCUAUUUACUUUUUCUGUUGUUGUUGAGACCAGGUCUUGCUCUGUUGUCCAGGCUGGAGUGCAGUGGCACAAUUAUAGCUCACUGCAGCCUCAAUCUCCUGGGUUCAAGUGAUCCUCCUGCCUCAGCCUCCCGAGUAGCUUGGGACCACAGGCACAUGCCACCACACCCAGCUAAUUUAUUUUCUUUUUGUAGAGACAGGGUCUUGCUAUGUUACCCGGGCUGGUCUGGAGCUCCUGGGCUCAAGCGAUCCUCCUGCCUUGGCCUCCCAAAGUGUUGGGAUUACAGGUGUGAGCCACUGUGUCUGGGCACCUUCUUUUUUUUUUUUUUUUUCUUUUAAAGAAGGCUAUUAAGUGUCCAGUGCCUGGAAAGUUCCUUUCUUUCCUGAAUUAAUAUACCAAAUUAGUUCCUGCUAAAGUGUUAAUGACUAACCCCAGUUUCACUUCUUGUCAGCAAUCUGCCCUCCUCCAUAAAGGGUUGAAUAAAUAGGACUUUUAGACAUAAGUGACCGAGUCUGUGAGGGAGUAAAUUUUGAGCAGGGGGAGCUCUCACGCAGGGCUCUCCAAUUUACACUGCGGAGGUAGCUUCCUUUUCCACCUCUGCAAUAAGCCAACCAACCCUACAAAUAUCUGGUAGAAAGAAGGGCUGUUCCAGUGAAGAGUCAAUUAGUAUGAAGACCGCCAUCUACUGGCAGAUGAUAUCUACUGGCCCCAUUGGUGCGCUAGAUAAGUUUUGUCAUUGCAGGGGGUUUCCCGAUUGGGUUGCUUGAAUGCUGAGAACCAGUCCUCUCCCCCAUUCCUUUUGCCUAAUUUCCCUUUUACAUUAUUGCUUUGUUACUUUGAUUCCUCAACAUAUACAGUAUUUCACAGAGCCUUUAUGCUACAGGGGAUCUUUGGAGGGUAUAACUGUUGUGUGUCAUUAACACUUUAGUAUAAAUUAACUCAAUUGACUACCACUAGUCCAGAAGUUGAGAAAUUCCAGUUUGUCCCCUUUUUUCUCCCUUUCUUCCUCUCUUUCUCCUAUCACUGAAUAUAGAAGUCAGGCUCAAAAACACAUCUUAGCUCUGGAGAGGAAAGGACUUCAGGACAUUUUCAUUUACCAGAAGACAGCUGUGGAAGUUUUAAAACGGUAUCAGCACACUGGCCUUCCUUACUCCAUCAAAUCUCAUGUGUGCCCUUCUCGGAGUCUCUAAAACAAAUGCAACUCCAGGAAGUCUCCCUAGUCUCUGAGAUCCCGUAUUUCCAGUUCCUUCACCCCUCUAGCUGUCUGCCCCAUCUUUUUUAACAAGAAGCGUAAAUAUCUCCACUGUAUUCUUAUGCACAUUUCAUGUGUGGUGCGUCUGUUUCAUGUGUGGUCUGUCUGGCCUCUUGUCAUGGGCUGUUUACUUCCUGGAGGCACUUUGGUUUUUCUUUCUCAGUAUUUCACCAUUGCACUAAGUCUAAGUUGUGGCACUGAUCACGGUAUGUGCUGCCUGCACAUUGUGAGAUGUUCCGUGGUCAGGGUUCGAGCAGUGGGGAAAUGGUGGCUCGGAAGGUCUUGGUGAAGCUCAUAACAUGUUCUAUGUCUCUACACACCUAUUUAUAGGUGUGGUUUGCAAGGAGGGGGUAUUAGAACCACCGUUUACAACCUGGAGUGUGAGUGUCCCUGAAGAGACAGGAAGACUUCCCAGGGGGUAUUUGGGCAUGAAUUGUUUCAAGGCACUCCAUUUCCAGAUGCUGAAUGCCGUAUCUGCCCUUCCCUGAACUGAUCUAGCAGACAGUGCACCUGCAGCUGGGGGGUCGGGCUGGUUCUCUGGUCCUGCCUGCCCUUUCUCAAUAGCGCUUUUCCCACUUUACAAAAGGAAAAAAUUCUGUUAACUCUCUCUCAUCCCAAAUCUUACUUACUAUGGUGCAUUAGGCCAAGUGUACAAACUUCCAUGGCAUCCAAAAAAGGACAACUGAAAAUAUUAAUGAAGGCAACAUAAAUCUCUAAGGUUUUGUGUCUCUCUCUGUCUUAUACAUACGUCUGUGACGGGCAAAGCAUGGAAUUAGACACAGGGCAAGAUAGGUUGUGUGGUAAGGCAAAAAUAUGAUACCAAUAUUUGUCUAAUGAGUCCCCUCAUCCUUCCCCCAAGGAUUAUCAAAGAACAUAUUGCCAUCAUGCAAAUCUCAUGAAAAUAAAAUAAGGUUAGUGAAGGUAGGAAGUAUUGAGGGUGGUGGCACAUUAUUUCAUCCCGGUGAUAAAUUCAUGGUACAGCUUCAUGCUCUAUCAAUAUCUAUCUAUCUAUCUGUCUGUCUGUCUAUCUAUCUAUCAUCUAUCUAUCUAUCUAAUCUAGUAUGUCUACUAUCUUAGAAUUAGAAUGCAGAAUGUUUGUCUUGGGGACAUAUAUUAACUCAUUGAUUUGGCUUGAAAAAUGAAAACUGGACGAGCACGGUGACUUAUGCCUGUAAUCCCAGCAUUUUGGGGGGCCGAGGCGGGCAGAUCAUGAGGUCAAGAGAUGAAGACCAUCCUGGCCAACAUGGUGAAACCCUGUCUCUACUAAAAAUACAAAAAUUAGCUGGAUGUGAUUGCUUAUGCCUGUAGUCCCAGCUACUCAGGAGGUUGAGGCAGAAGACUCACUUGAACCUGGGAGGCAGAGGUUGCAGUGAGCCGAGAUAGUGCCAUUGCACUCCAGCCUGGCAACAGAGAGAGACUCCGUCUCAAAAAAAAAGAAAAGAAAAAAAAAAUGAAAACUAAGUGUUUUGGUGGGGGACAAAGAAUAAGUCUACUCUGGGUGAUUAAUUUUAUGACCCACUUCAACAAUUACCUUAAAGUGCCAUAAACUGAAUGUGCUAAAUUUUCAGCUCUUAAAAUUUCCACAAUAAAAAUAAAGUAUAUGAUAAUAUAAAAUCAAUGUACAAAAAAGUUUUGGUAAACUUAUAUUGAAAUGAAAGAUAUUUCAAUUUCUCCAACCCUUUUUAAGUAUAUCAAAUUAGAAGGUGUCUUUAUGAGAAAGAAUAACAAGCAUAAUUAACAAUCAUUUAAUAAGUCUUGAUAAAGUAUUUUAGGUGAUUUCCCAGAAAAAGAGGACUUAAUGACCACAAAGACUAGGUAAUAAAUAUUUGCAAGUCAGAUGUUUUCCAAUUCUUUGCUUUCAACAAUAUCAGAAGAGGACCUAAUGGAGUUGUCAGCUGAUAGAUUAUUAAAAAUAAUUCUUGAUGAUAGAGCAGUAUGUUAUUUUUGGCUUAGAACUUGGAAAGAGUUCAGAGAGCCAAAUCAUAUUGCUAUAAUAAAACUCCAUCCAAACUUAUUUACGUGAACAAGGUUUCCCAGCAUUACUUCUAUAAAAAUGAAAAGUAUGAAUAGAAUGGAUGCUAUUCCUUGUCUAACUCUAAUAACAAGUAAUGUCAUGCAUGAGUGCAUGAAUUAAUUAAAGAUAAAAGCCUUAUUCGGCUGGGCGCGGUGGCCCGUGCCUGUAAUGCCAGCACUUUGGGAGGCCGAGGCAGGCGGAUCACAAGGUCAGGAGCUCGAGGCCAUCCUGGCUAACACGGUGAAAACCUGUCUCUACUAAAAAUACAAAAAAUUAGCCGGGUGUGGUGGCGGGCGCCUGUAGUCCCAGCCACUCGGGAGGCUGAGGCAGGAGAAUGGCGUGAACCUGGGAGGUGGAGAUUGCAGUGAGUCGAGAUCACGCCACUCCCCUCCAGCCUGGGCGACAGAACGAGACUCCGUCUCAAUAAAUAAAUAAAUAAAUAAGUAAGCCUUAUUCAUUUCAUUAAAAGAUAUGAGGCGGGCGGAUCACCUGAGAUCGAGAGUUCAAGACCAGCCUGACCAACAUGGAGAAACCCUGUCUCUACUAAAAAUACAAAAUUAGCCAGGCUUGGUGGUGCACGCCUGUAAUCCCAGCUACUCCAGAGGCUGAGGCAGGAGAAUCGCUUGAACCCGGGAGGGGGGUGUUGCGGUGAGCAGAGAUCGCACCAUUGCACUCCAGCCUGGGCAACAAAGAGUGAAACUCCGUCUCAAAUAAAAUAAAAGAGAUACAUUACUAUUUUUUUUUUUUUUUUUGAGACAGGGUCUUGCACUGUUGGGCAAACCAGGAUAUUGAUAUUGAUACAGUCAAGAUACAAAACAUUUCUAUCACCACCAGAAUUCCUGAAGUUGGCUUCUUAUAAUCACAACUACUUUCCUCUCAGUCUCUCAAACUUAAUCUCUGGCAACCAUUCAUUUCAUCUCCAUUUCUAUGAUUUUGUCAUUUCAAGAAUGUUAAAUAAAUGGACUCAUACAUAUA